rnacentral:snoRNA from 1 species
AACGAGUGAUUAGUCAGCUGUGCCUUGCCCAUGCGUGCGUGUGCGUGCGUGCUUGUGCGUUUCGCUUCUGAUCGUGGCUGUUUGGCCCGAUGACGAGCGAUCGACCUCGCGCCCUCACCUCUCUUUCAAAAUAGGCGGCUGCAGCGUUACAUCGCUCGGAGAGAU